rnacentral:rRNA from 1 species
UACGUAGGGGGCAAGCGUUGUCCGGAAUCAUUGGGCGUAAAGAGCGUGUAGGCGGCCCGAUAAGUCCGCUGUGAAAGUCCAGGGCUCAACCCUGGGAUGCCGGUGGAUACUGUCGGGCUCGAGUCCGGAAGAGGAGUGUGGAAUUCCUGGUGUAGCGGUGAAAUGCGCAGAUAUCAGGAGGAACACCAAUGGCGAAGGCGGAUCUCUGGGCCUGUUCUGACGCUGAGGCGCGAAAGCUAGGGGAGCGAACAGG